CCUGUUUUUCGUCGGACGUGUUCUAAGGGAAACAAAAAUGAAGUUCUUAAUUCUUCUGUUACUUUGCAUUCAGGCGUUUUUUAUUCAGGUAAUAUACUGUUUGUCACCCAAAGACCUCGUUGGUCUGAUAACUGGUGACCCUGAAGAUCAGAUCCCGGCCAAGGAUAUAACAGCAGCUAUCACCGGUAUAAACCCCGCUGACGCCACUCAGUAAUCCUGGGCCGAAUGCAAUGUUUAACCAGAUAAUAUUGACUUUAUAAUGUUCAUUGAGAUAAUUAAUAAAUCUAUUCAAGUUAUAUUUUAAA